rnacentral:rRNA from 1 species
AGAGUUUGAUCCUGGCUCAGAACGAACGCUGGCGGCGUGCUUAACACAUGCAAGUCGAACGUGAUCCGGAGCUUGCUCCGGUGAAAGUGGCGCACGGGUGAGUAACACGUGGAUAACNNNNNNNNNNNNNNNNNNNNNNNNNNNNNNNNNNNNNNNNNNNNNNNNNNNNNNUUGAGUAGUGAAGAAAGGUGGCCUCUGAAUAUGCUACUGUGCUGAGAUGAGCUUGCGUACCAUUAGCUAGUUGGUAGGGUAAUGGCCUACCAAGGCGACGAUGGUUAGCGGGUCUGAGAGGAUGAUCCGCCACACUGGAACUGGAACACGGACCAGACUCCUACGGGAGGCAGCAGUGAGGAAUAUUGCGCAAUGGGGGCAACCCUGACGCAGCGACGCCGCGUGGAUGAUGAAGGCCCUUGGGUCGUAAAAUCCUGUCAGAUGGAAAGAAAUGAAACCCUCCGAACGUGUUCGGAGCUGAAGGUACCGUAAGAAUAAGGAUCGGCUAACUCCGUGCCAGCAGCCGCGGUAAUACGGAGGAUCCAAGCGUUAUCCGGAUUUACUGGGUUUAAAGGGUGCGUAGGCGGAUUGAUAAGUCAGUGGUGAAAGCCUGCAGCUUAACUGCAGAACUGCCAUUGAUACUGCCAGUCUGGAGUAUGGUUGAGGUAGGUGGAAUGUGUUGUGUAGCGGUGAAAUGCAUAGAUAUGACACAGAACGCCGAUUGCGAAGGCAGCUUACUAAGCCAUUACUGACGCUGAGGCACGAAAGCGUGGGGAUCGAACAGGAUUAGAUACCCUGGUAGUCCACGCCGUAAACGAUGAUCACUCGCUGUUUGCGAUAUACAGCAAGCGGCUGAGCGAAAGCAUUAAGUGAUCCACCUGGGGAGUACGAUCGCAAGGUUGAAACUCAAAGGAAUUGACGGGGGCCCGCACAAGCGGAGGAACAUGUGGUUUAAUUCGAUGAUACGCGAGGAACCUUACCUGGGCUUAAAUGUAGGCUGCAUUCGGCUGAAAGGCUGAUUCCCUUCGGGGCUGCUUACAAGGUGCUGCAUGGUUGUCGUCAGCUCGUGCCGUGAGGUGUCGGGUUAAGUCCCAUAACGAGCGCAACCCUUAUCGUUAGUUGCCAGCGGGUCAAGCCGGGGACUCUAGCGAGACUGCCACCGUAAGGUGUGAGGAAGGUGGGGAUGACGUCAAAUCAGCACGGCCCUUAUGUCCAGGGCUACACACGUGUUACAAUGGCCGAUACAAAGGGCAGCAACACCGCGAGGUGAAGCCAAUCCCAAAAAGCCGGUCUCAGUUCGGAUUGGAGUCUGCAACUCGACUCCAUGAAGUUGGAUUCGCUAGUAAUCGCGCAUCAGCCAUGGCGCGGUGAAUACGUUCCCGGGCCUUGUACACACCGCCCGUCACACCACGGGAGUUGGUUGUACCAGAAGCAGUUGAGCUAACCGCAAGGGGGCAGGCUGCCAAGGUAUGGCUGGUAACUGGGGUGAAGUCGUAACAAGGUAACC